UACAGAGGGUGCAAGCGUUAAUCGGAAUUACUGGGCGUAAAGCGUGCGCAGACGGUUGCGUAAGUCAGAUGUGAAAGCCCCGGGCUCAACCUGGGAAUUGCAUUUGAGACUGCGUAGCUAGGGUGCGGAAGAGGGAAGCGGAAUUUCCGGUGUAGCGGUGAAAUGCGUAGAUAUCGGAAGGAACACCAGUGGCGAAAGAGGCUUCCUGGUCCAGCACCGACGUUCAGGCACGAAAGCGUGGGGAGCAAACAGG
rnacentral:rRNA from 1 species